CCUACGGGAGGCAGCAGUGAGGAAUAUUGGUCAAUGGGCGAGAGCCUGAACCAGCCAAGUCGCGUGAAGGAUGACGGCCCUACGGGUUGUAAACUUCUUUUGUCAGGGAGCAAUUGGGUCCACGCGUGGGCUUAGCGAGAGUACCUGAAGGAAAAGCAUCGGCUAACUCCGUGCAAGCAGCCGCGGUACUACGGAGGAUGCGAGCGGUAUCCGGAGUGAGUGGGGUUAAAGGGUGCGUAGGCGGAAGAUCAAGUCAGCGGUAAAAAUUCGGGGCUCAACCCCGUCGUGCCGUUGAGACUGAUGGUCUUGAGUGGGCGAGAAGUAUGCGGAAUGCGUGGUGUCGCGGUGAAAUGCAUAGAUAGCACGCAGAACUCCGAUUGCGAAGGCAGCAUACCGGCGCCCAACUGACGCUGAAGCACGAAAGCGUGGGUAUCGAACAGGAUUAGAUACCCUAGUAGUC
rnacentral:rRNA from 1 species